CGCUCGGUAAAUACGACCGAGUGAAUGAAUGAAUCGCGAUGGGGGCAGAGGACGGAUAUAGAGGAUGAAGGGAUGUGGAUGAGAUGGCAAGUUAAGGGAUUCAGAUGUGGCUUUUUGGAAAAGAUGAAAGAGAAAGUCGUCGUCUCCCACCCCCCAUCUGCUAGGUCAUGCCUAAAGACACAUUCUGUCAAAUCUUAAAAGCGGCAACAGCUUUGCCUGUGGGGUACCUAUAAUUAUUAUCCGAAGCAGCAGUUGGCCCAGUGCAGUUCAUUGUUCUGCUAACACAAGCCCGAAUGAGAACAGUGGCUCCAGGCUGUGAGUUUAUAAAGUGCAACUUUUCGAUUUUGCUCUGCUAAAGCGCCCAGCAUUGUGCCGAGUCCACGAGGGACAUCUUCGGCCCGCGUCUGGGUUCAGCAGAUUGAAUCCGUCACGCUGAGUUAAACAAAGAACGGGGGAUAUAACCUUUACGGGGGCCUGUCAUCUUUCCCCGCUAAUUCAAUCUACGUUUAAUCAAUGAAAGUAAUUUCUUGUUUGUUUAAGUCUCAUCCACGGUGGCUCUUGAAGAUUUUCAAGUCGUCCACCUCCGCCCUGACCUCCUUCCCCUUUUGAACUUGGACUCGCGAACGGAGGGCCGCGGAAACGGUCCGCUGCACAGCCGGGGUGCUCGUCACCCUCUCCCGUCCUCGGCUCGCCUUUACGAAACCGCCUCGGAGAUUUGGUCCGCAAAAAAAUGAUGUCGGUUACUAUGGUGACCACGGUCCCACAAACACGGAGCGUUCGCAUUUAUGGAAUUCCAGGGCGACGAUUCUAAACGGUUGGUUUCCGUACCCACUGCGAUUGAUCGCCUUCUCUUCCCGGGUUUCGAGUGCAAAGACCUCUGCUUUCAAGACGCAGGCUAUUCCUGUUAUUGAAAGUAGCCGGUAGUGACUUAUGCAAGUUCAAGGACUUUAUCGAUCGGUUUAGCUGGUCUUAAUCAAAAUCCGUCUUCUUUUCCACUCAGAGUGAUUAAAUAGGUCUGAGAGCCGGA